UGGCACAGACACAGCUAUAACUCCUCAGACCAAAGAUAAGACUGGAUCCUUAAAGGUCAUUAAGAUUUCAACAGAGUCAACCAUCACUACAGUUCCUAAAGCACACACUCAAAUCACAUCGCAGAGAUCCGAACACAUGGAUACAUCCACAGUCUCAGAGACACAGACAGACAAUUCACUGAUUACAGCUGCCCGCAGUGCAUCAUCUGCUACUGUACUAACCUCAACUUCAACUAACAUUUCAAUAGCUACAGAUAAAUACACGUCUUCAAAUAGUAGAAAUGAAAGUUUUGUCACAUCAGCAGGACUCCAAACACAUCAAGAGAAUUCAUCUCAAAAUAUUACAUUAGAAUUACCAUUCACUUCUGAAACCUCUAGAACUUCUAGAACAGAAUUUAUGCCCAUCCUACAGAGUAACCACACAUCAUCACCUAACCCAUACCAGGGUAACGCCAACACUUCAAAGAACAUCAAAAUUACAGCCAGUUCUUCAGGCGAUGCUUCAUUUACAAUUUCAGAGGACAUAACCGAGAACAUCUCAGCAUUAUCAGCAAUGUCACCUUCAGACCUCAGUGCCAAGUCUUCCAGGCCAGCUCCACAAAAUAACCUGAUUAAUCAGGUAAAUUUACAAUCCAAACCACCAGCAAUCACUAAUAAAAUAAACAAUCCAACACCCUUUACAACAGCACGUCUUCAACAAGUAGACAAGUCUGCAUACCAGCGAAUGGAAUCUGAUCCUUCACCUGUUCCCACUACCUUAGACACAUCUCUCGCAAGCCCACCUACAAAUUCAGAAGCAUCAAUUUCCCAGGAAGGCAAAAACCCAUAUAUUUCAACCACUGACUUCAAUCCUGUUUCAAUAUUGGGACUCACAGCUCAACCAAAACUAAUGUCCACAAAAAAUGGCAACUCUGACUCAAAAGGCAAUAGUUCUAACAAAAGCCCUGUCACAUUAAAUUCAAUCAUAGCAUCAUAUCCACCAAUAAUAAACACAAAUCUACCAGACAUUGACCUUAAACCAUCUAUAGAAUCAGUCAGUUACAACACUUUAUUCACAGACAGCAAACCCACCAUUCAAGAUUUUGAGACAACCACAGAACCUGAAACAUUGGCCCAAUCAGUGCUGACCACAACUCUUGCAGCUUCUACCAGUGAAACAGAUGAUCCUACAAUAUAUACAACCACAACCACAAAUUCAACUGAUUCUUCAGCUGGUACUGGAAUCUAUUCUACUGAAGUUCAGGUCACAGCUACAUCCAUAUCUGGAGAUGUUAAGACUUUCUCUACAAUCACCUUGGACUCUUUAUCCAUCAACCAGAGUGAGGAAUCCCAACAAUUUACUGGUGCAACAUCUUCUGAACCCAAUCAGACAAGAAGUCAAACAGGGGAGACCAUCAAUACACUGGAGACCGCCCAAAUGACAACACAUUCAAGCUUAUCAGGAGUAACCUCUAAAGGAAAAUCCGAGCCUCUAACUGAUAGUACCUCAGCAUCUUCAUCUAAUUUAUCAGUCGACUCUAUUACAAGUUCUCUUACCAACAGUACUGCAAAUACCAAAAGUGUUCAAGGUUCUCCAGACAAAAGGUCCGAACAUUUUCAGUCAAAUAAACCAGUCAACAACAUCACACCAUCCACAGCCAACAAACCCACCAUUCAAGAUUUUAAAACAACCACAGAACCUGAAACAUUGGCCCAAUCAAUGUUGAUCCCCACUUUUCCACCUUCUACAAGUAAAACAGAUGAUCCUACAAUAUCUACAAGCAGAGGACUAAUUCACUCAAAUUCAAGCAAUUAUAGAAACUCAAAUGAUUCUUCAGCUGGUACUGGAAUAUAUUCUACUGAAGUUCAGGUCACAGCUACAUCCAUGUCUGAAGAAUCUGGUACUCCAAAUGUGUCGACUACUGAAUCCAACAGCCCAGCAGCAUCUGACUGGUUUACAACCAGGUCCCCUUUUCCACCAACAGAAGCAAAUAUAUCACCCUUAUCUUCAACUGUAACACCUACAGACACUUUACACUCCCAUCCAACCAUUACUUCCGAUUCAGAUUCAACACUAACAACAGUCCAGACAUCCUCGCCUACACCCACAGAGUCACUGCCAACAACCAUGGUUUCAUCAUCAAAUCCAUCAAAUGGUGUCACUCUCCAAACCCCUGCAUCCCCAACUCCUAAAAGUGCUGUAACCACUAACCCUGAGGUACACACCAU
ensembl:lncRNA